CCUACGGGUGGCUGCAGUGAGGAAUAUUGGUCAAUGGGCUAAAGCCUGAACCAGCAAAGUCGCGUGAAGGAAGACGGUCCUAUGGAUUGUAAACCUCUUUUGUCGGGGCGCAACGAGGCCACGUGUGGCCGGAAUGAGCGUACCCGCAGAAAAAGCAUCGGCUAACUCCGUGCCAGCAGCCGCGGUAAUACGGAGGAUGCGAGCGUUAUCCGGAUUUAUUGGGGUUAAAGGGUGCGUAGGCGGAACAUUAAGUCAGCGGUAAAAUCGAGGGGUUCAACCCCUUUAAGCCGGUGAAACUGGUGAUCUUGAGUGGGCGAGAGGUAUGCGGAAUGCGUGGUGUAGCGGUGAAAUGCAUAGAUAUCACGGAGAACUCCGAUUGCGAAGGCAGCAUACCGGCGUCCGACUGACGCUGAGGCACGAAAGCGUGGGGAUCGAACAGGAUUAGAUACCCGAGUAGUC
rnacentral:rRNA from 1 species